GCAGGAACAAAAAAAAAACCCGGGAUCGGAAGCCGCGGAAAAAGGCGCGCGAUCCACCGACCGACUCCAUCGUCUACCGGUAGGUAGUGCCGUACCGCUACCAGUGCUAUAGCCUGUAGUGGCGGUAGGACUUGAGCAUGGCGCCGCAGAAGGUGCAGAUGAUGGCGCGCCAGGUGCUCCGGUGCACGGUGAGCAGGUAGCAGACCCUGGUGGCGGUCUCCAUGUCCGCCACGCUGGCGCACCCGCCGCAGCGCGAGCAGAUCCCCGCCGCCGGCUUGCUGCUCCGCACCGUCCGCCGCUGGUCCACCAGGAAGCAGAAGAACACCAUCGCUCCUGCACUGCCACUGCACUGCACGCUCCUCCUCCCUGGUUCCUUGGAUUGGAUCGCGCGCUCUCUCCAACAACAACAACAACCGAACAGACACCGUUGUUCUGCUUGCGUGUUGCGCCGCGCGCGCUGGCUGCCGGCGGCAGGUGGCAAUAAUGCGGAGCGAGGCUUGCAAGCAACGGCCGGGCGGGCUAGCUUUUCG
rnacentral:misc_RNA from 1 species